rnacentral:misc_RNA from 1 species
GAUGAAGAACGUAGCGAAAUGCGAAAAGUAAUGUGAAUUGCAGAAUUCAGUGAACCAUCGAAUCUUUGAACGCACAUUGCGCCCGCUGGAACUCCGGCGGGCACGCCUGUCCGAGCGUCAUUUCAACCCUCAGGCCCCCCUUCGCGGGCGGGCCUGGUGUUGGGGCCCGGCCGCUACCCUGCGGCCAUCCCCUAAAUUCAGUGGCGGCCUCGCCGUGAUCCCUUGCGUAGUAAUGCACCUCGCACCGGAGAGCGCCGUGGCCACGCCGUAAAACCCCCAAUUUUCAACGGUUGACCUCGGAUCAGGUGGGAAUACCCGCUGAACUUAAGCAUAUCAAUAAGCGGAGGA